GUAAAGCGCGCGCAGGCGGUUUCUUAAGUCUGAUGUGAAAGCCCCCGGCUCAACCGGGGAGGGUCAUUGGAAACUGGGGAACUUGAGUGCAGAAGAGGAGAGUGGAAUUCCACGUGUAGCGGUGAAAUGCGUAGAGAUGUGGAGGAACACCAGUGGCGAAGGCGACUCUCUGGUCUGUAACUGACGCUGAGGCGCGAAAGCGUGGGGAGCGAACAGGAUUAGAUACCCUGGUAGUCCACGCCGUAAACGAUGAGUGCUAAGUGUUAGAGGGUUUCCGCCCUUUAGUGCUGCAGCAAACGCAUUAAGCACUCCGCCUGGGGAGUACGGUCGCAAGACUGAAACUCAAAGGAAUUGACGGGGGCCCGCACAAGCGGUGGAGCAUGUGGUUUAAUUCGAAGCAACGCGAAGAACCUUACCAGGUCUUGACAUCCUCUGACAACCCUAGAGAUAGGGCUUCCCCUUCGGGGGCAGAGUGACAGGUGGUGCAUGGUUGUCGUCAGCUCGUGUCGUGAGAUGUUGGGUUAAGUCCCGCAACGAGCGCAACCCUUGAUCUUAGUUGCCAGCAUUCAGUUGGGCACUCUAAGGUGACUGCCGGUGACAAACCGGAGGAAGGUGGGGAUGACGUCAAAUCAUCAUGCCCCUUAUGACCUGGGCUACACACGUGCUACAAUGGGCAGAACAAAGGGCAGCGAAGCCGCGAGGCUAAGCCAAUCCCACAAAUCUGUUCUCAGUUCGGAUCGCAGUCUGCAACUCGACUGCGUGAAGCUGGAAUCGCUAGUAAUCGCGGAUCAGCAU
rnacentral:rRNA from 2 species